UACAGAGGGUGCGAGCGUUGUCCGGAAUCACUGGGCGUAAAGGGCGCGUGGGCGGCUGGGUAAGCGUGUGGUGAAAGUCCGGGGCUCAACCCCGGAUCGGCCAUGCGAACUGUCCAGCUGGAGCACGGUAGAGGCACAUGGAAUUCCGGGUGUAGCGGUGGAAUGCGUAGAGAUCCGGAAGAACACCGGUGGCGAAGGCGGUGUGCUGGGCCGUAGCUGACGCUGAGGCGCGACAGCGUGGGGAGCAAACAGG
rnacentral:rRNA from 1 species